UCAACUUAAUGACAGUUUAUUAGAAGUUUAAACGGACAAGAAAGUAAAUAUUUUUGAUGGCUGACACUGUUUACGAAUAAUUACGUCUCGCGUGAACAAUAAUAAGGAGAAUAUUCUCAGAUAUCGUGUGAUUUCGACGGAAUCCCAUGAAAUGUGAUCCAAAAAAACGUCGGAACACACGACGACGGCGGCCGUUUGCAUACGUUCACGCAGUAUAAUUUUCUACCGUAUUUAUUAUUAUUAUGUAUUAUUUCGUUGUUUUCGGUUGUCGUUGAAUCGCAGGAUCCUUUUUAGUAGCCGCCCGGGGGAAACCGGUCGGCCACCGUGAGGCGUCGACAACGGAUGCGGCUGUUAGGGGCGACCGGUACGAUAGUGUAUCGGGGGGCGGUGGUCGCAUGAGAAGCAGGGGCCGUGGAAACAAAACACGGGACAGCGCGACCGAGCCGCCGCUGCUGCCGCCGCGUGUGUUCGUGCGUGUGUUCGUGCGUGGUGGCGCGCCCGGUGGCCAACCAGAAAGCCAUCGGGCGGGGCCUGAGCCGGCUCCCGUUCAUUUCCCACGGGCGCCCAUUGGAUCCCCAGCCCCGCCCCGCCCCUGGUGAGACCGAGCACCCGACGCCGACGAUCGGGUAGCGCACCCGAAGCGCGCACGCCGAUCCAGACUACUACUGCCAACGUAUGCAUGCCCGUUUGUUGCCGUCACAUACACACAUGACCGUCAUAUAGACCGCUUCUGACUUUCGUGUAGCACAGUCCAGUGUGUUCCGCAAUAAUCACCACUUACCGUCUCAGGCCUACGCAUACUACAAGUCUUCUUGAACUUCUCUUAGUUGAUGUUGCAGUGUUGUUAUUUUAUACAUUCGCCUAUCGAAACAACGUUUUCGGAGAGGUCACAACAGUAACCACUUUUAGUCGGAGAUAUACUUGAAAAUCAAACACAAGUGCGCGGCUACUCGUGAUACCGACGACCUUCGCCGUGUUCAGCCUUUUCCGUUUCGACAAGCUCAGUUAUUCGCGGCCCAACCAUGUA